rnacentral:tRNA from 1 species
AUUUAUAUAAUAUAAGAAGUAUAGUUGACUUCCAAUCAAAAAGUUUAAUUUUUUUAGUAUAAAUA